GUCGAGCGCCCUUCGGGUGAGCGGCGGACGGGUUAGUAACGCGUGGGAACGUGCCCUUUUCUACGGAAUAGCCUUUGGAAACGAAGAGUAAUACCGUAUACGCCCUUUGGGGGAAAGAUUUAUCGGAGAAGGAUCGGCCCGCGUUAGAUUAGAUAGUUGGUGGGGUAACGGCCUACCAAGUCUACGAUCUAUAGCUGGUUUUAGAGGAUGAUCAGCAACACUGGGACUGAGACACGGCCCAGACUCCUACGGGAGGCAGCAGUGGGGAAUCUUAGACAAUGGGCGCAAGCCUGAUCUAGCCAUGCCGCGUGAGUGAUGAAGGCCUUAGGGUCGUAAAGCUCUUUCGCCUGUGAUGAUAAUGACAGUAGCAGGUAAAGAAACCCCGGCUAACUCCGUGCCAGCAGCCGCGGUAAUACGGAGGGGGUUAGCGUUGUUCGGAAUUACUGGGCGUAAAGCGCACGUAGGCUGAUUGGAAAGUUGGGGGUGAAAUCCCGGGGCUCAUCCCCUGAACUGCCU
rnacentral:rRNA from 1 species